rnacentral:rRNA from 1 species
UACGUAGGUGGCAAGCGUUGUCCGGAAUUAUUGGGCGUAAAGCGCGCGCAGGCGGUCCUUUAAGUCUGAUGUGAAAGCCCACGGCUCAACCGUGGAGGGUCAUUGGAAACUGGGGGACUUGAGUGCAGGAGAGAAGAGUGGAAUUCCACGUGUAGCGGUGAAAUGCGCAGAUAUCAGGAGGAACACCAAUGGCGAAGGCAGCUCGCUGGGACGGUACUGACGCUGAGGCGCGAAAGCGUGGGGAGCAAACAGG